rnacentral:rRNA from 1 species
UGAAUACGAGAUGCUACGGCGUCGAAGCAGUGUAUGUCAGACUUCCAAGAAAAGCUCGCAAUGUCAUAAAUAAAGAAUGCCUGUACCAUAACCGACACAGGUGGGUAGGUAGAGUAUACUAAGGGGCGCGAGAUAACUCUCUCUAAGGAACUCGGCAAAAUAACUCCGUAACUUCGGGAGAAGGAGUGCCUUCUAUUAGAAGGUUGCAAUAACAAGAUCCAAGCAACUGUUUAUCAAAAACACAGGUCUCCGCUAAGUCGUAAGACGAUGUAUGGGGGCUGACGCCUGCCCAGUGCCAGAAGGUUAAAGAAGUUGGUUAGCUUUGGCGAAGCUGAUGACUGAAGCCCUGGUGAACGGCGGCCGUAACGAUACGGUCCUAAGGUAGCGAAAUUCCUUGUCGGGUAAGUUCCGACCCGCACGAAAGGCGUAAUGAUUUGGAUACUGUCUCGGAGAGGGACUCGGUGAAAUAGACUUGUCUGUGAAGAUGCGGACUACCUGCACCAGGACAGAAAGACCCUAUGAAGCUUUACUGUAACUUGAAAUUGAAAUUGGACUUUAUUUGCGCAGCAUAGGUGGAAGGCGUUGAGAUUACUCUUGCGGGAGUACUGGAGCCAUCAGUGAGAUACCACUCCUAUAAUGUUAGAUUUCUAACUUUGGAUCAUGAUCUGGUCAAAGAACAGUUUCAGGCGGGCAGUUUGACUGGGGCGGUCGCCUCCCAAAUGGUAACGGAGGCGUACAAAGGUUUCCUCUGAACGGGUAGAAAUCGUAUCUAGAGUGUAAAGGCAUAAGGAAGCUUGACUGUGAGACCUACAAGUCGAGCAGGGACGAAAGUCGGUCUUAGUGAUCUGACGGUGCUGAGUGGAAAGGCCGUCACUCAACGGAUAAAAGUUACUCUAGGAUAACAGGCUGAUCUCCCCCAAGAGUUCACAUCGACGGGGAGGUUUGGCACCUCGAUGUCGGCUCAUCGCAUCCUGGGGCGGUAGUACGUCCCAAGGGUUGGGCUGUUCGCCCAUGAAAGCGGUACGCGAGCUGGGUUCAGAACGUCGUGAGACAGUUCGGUCCAUAUCCGGUGUAGGCGUUAGAAUAUUGAGAGGAGCCUUCUUUAGUACGAGAGGACCGAGAAGGACAUACCUCUGGUGUACCAGUUAUCGUGCCAACGGUAAACGCUGGGUAGCUAUGUAUGGAGAGGAUAACCGCUGAAAGCAUCUAAGUGGGAAGCCCACCUCAAGAU